AGGUGCAACCCGAGGACUUCCCAGGAGGUCACCCAUCUUAGUACUACUCUCGCUCAAGCACGCUUAACAGCGGAGUUCUAAUGGGAUCCGGUGCAUGAGUGCUGGUAUGAUCGCACCUAUUAAAGUAUGCGCACACAAUUAUCAUAAGCAUGUCUCGCGACGUAGGGUAAGUCGAGCUGCGAAACCCUGCGGGGACCGUGCGAGCUUGUCGAAAAUCAGGUCAUUGAGGCUCGCUUCAGCUAAACUAUUCAAGAUAGUGUCGUUUAAAGAACGAGGGUAAGCAUGACGUAAAAAAAAACGUUGCAUCAAAAGGACUUCCUAGGAGGUCACCCAUCUUAGUACUACUCUCGCUCAAGCACACUUAACUGCGGAGUUCUAAUGGAUCCGGUGCAUGAGUGCUGGUAUGAUCAAACCUAUUAAAGUAUGCGCACACAAUUAUCAUAAGCAUGUCUUGCGACAUAGGGUAAGCUGAGCCGCGAAACCCUGCG